CCUACGGGAGGCUGCAGUGGGGAAUAUUGGGCAAUGGGCGCAAGCCUGACCCAGCAACGCCGCGUGAAGGAAGAAGGCUUUCGGGUUGUAAACUUCUUUUCUCAGGGACGAAGCAAGUGACGGUACCUGAGGAAUAAGCCACGGCUAACUACGUGCCAGCAGCCGCGGUAAUACGUAGGUGGCAAGCGUUAUCCGGAUUUACUGGGUGUAAAGGGCGGGUAGGCGGGAAAGCAAGUCAGAAGUGAAAACCAUGGGCUCAACCUGUGGCCUGCAUUUGAAACUGUUUUUCUUGAGUACUGGAGAGGCAGACGGAAUUCCUAGUGUAGCGGUGAAAUGCGUAGAUAUUAGGAGGAACACCAGUGGCGAAGGCGGUCUGCUGGACAGCAACUGACGCUGAGGCGCGAAAGCGUGGGGAGCAAACAGGAUUAGAUACCCCAGUAGUC
rnacentral:rRNA from 1 species